CAAAACAAUUUUCAAGAUGGCUGCGUGCAUGCAGAUGAAAAGAAAAAUAUAUCGUUGCAUCCAUCGGUUGUGUCUUUUUAAUAUUGCUUUCUUCGUUUGGAUUUUUUUCAUGAUAUCUCUAUUCUCGCUUAUGGUGACAUAUAUCAGCUUUGUGUUUUAUCUGGAUGAUGACGAAAGAACCAGAGAUAAAAAUCUGGAAAAUGACAUGGACUUCCCGGUUGCUGAUGGAGUUGAUGAAGUCUUGCUCCUUCAGGAAGGCAUCGUGCCUGGGGAGGAUGCUCAGACCUUUGCCUCUGGUAAUCUGAUCUCAUCCCACAUCAUUGACUCCUCAGCAGUGGAGAUUGCUGGUUGGUGGAUGCCUCAGGUCCGAUGGAAUCCAGAGAUUGACUGUAGUCUGCCCGACCAGCCAGGUACCUGUGGUAAGGUCCUGAGUGUGAAAUGCAAGCCAGACAGUGUUAGAGCAAUAUAUCAGUUUUUACCUAUUAAUCAAGAUAAACCCAUUGAUGGUAUUUAUUUUCACGCAAAAAGCGCAGCAUCAAAGCUGACAAAAGACAAACAAGUGGCAAGUGAUGCCACAUACAGUGCAAUAGCUUUAUUGAGAUACAAAGAUGGUGCAUCAGACAGAAUAAGACUCGAUUUUCCAGCAGGAACACACCCCUAUUUAUCAGCUGAAGUGGACAAGAUUUUUCCAGUAGACAAAGUGCUCCAGAGUGUCACUGUCAUGCUGUGUUGCCAUGGUUACCAGGGUUCCAUCAAAUUCAUGGAUGUCAUAGUACGCCCAAUUUUAGAGGACCAUUCACAAGUCAUGGUCACCAAAAACUACAUCCAGAAAUGUCCUGAAUAUUGCAGGUCAUCAAAGACCAGCUCCAGGUUUGAUUUUGACGUGGAGCAGUUCCUAACAGAUGGGACGCAGUUAACUGAGGGGUCACAACCUUUGACCUUAGUAACCCAGGUGUCACUGGACAGGAUUGACCUGCUGGAAUCCGCCCUUGAGCAUUGGCAGGGCCCAAUAUCGGUGGCGCUCUUCAUUCCGACAAAAUCUUCCAAAACCGACAACGACCACGGAUGGAAAAGGUUGUAUAUCAAGAAGAAGCUUCGUAACAGUCAUUUACAGGGUAGAUGCAAUAUGGUGGUUGUCUUCGCUAAAACGUCAGAGGAUGAGUAUCCAGUCAACUACUUGAGGAAUUUGGCCAUCAGACAAGCCAAGACCAAGUACAUUUUUCUCCUGGAUGCAGAUUUUGUCCCUGCUCCAGAUUUCCAAUCAAGCUUCCAGACCUCCCUGGCUAUGAUCGAGAGAACCCCGCAGUUUAACAAAACUGCCUUUGUGGUGCCUGUCUUUGAGUAUGCGCAGGAAUUCAUUAAGGAUUUUCCAGUCGACCAGCCCAAGAAUAAGCAGGACCUGAAGGACAAGCUGUUUAGUGAUGGGGCUAUCAUCUCUCCCUUCAUGAUUUCAACGGCUCCCGAGGCUCACAGGCCCACAGACUACAGGAGUUGGUACUCUGCAACUCGGCCUUACAAAGUGUCUACCUAUCAGGACAAAUAUGAACCCUACCUCAUUCUGAGAAACACUGAGAAUCUACCGCUGUUUGAUGAACGCUUCACAGGUUAUGGGAUGAAUAAAGUAACGUACGCAAUGGAGCUUCAUGCCAGUGGAUAUGAAUACAUGGUGCUACCCAAUGUGUGGGCCGUCCAUGUCCCCCAUCGUGAGAGCUCGGCUAAGAUCCGUUUCUUGUUGGAUCCUCUGUAUCGGUUGAACAACCGGGCCGACCGAUUCGAAUUUGUAUCUGACCUGAUGAGAAGGCAUAACUUGGGUGGCUGCAAGGCAGACCAACACUGAUAUAGUAAUGUUAGAAAUCUGUGGAUCUUAUUGCAAGACUUUGUAUUUAUUUCCUUGCCUGCAACAAGCCAGUUUAUUGGCUUGGACUGAUGCCCACUGGAGAUAACAAAAAUAUAUACUGGCUCAGUUUGUUCCUCAUUGUUCUAAUAAAUGCAACAAAGAGUUUAGUUUAUACCAGGCUGAUGCUUAGCGCAGCCUUUCAUAGCCAACUUGUCAUCUAGUCUGAAAUAAUAGUCUUGACUAAUUUGAAGGCCAGUUCAUACGUCAUGUUAAUAUGAACAAGUGUUACACAAACUUGACCUCUUUGAACAUUCAUGGCAAAAAUUAGCCAGAGUUAAAAUGUGUUAAACUUGUCAGAAUUCACACAGCAACUGCUUUCUGGUUUGCAUUUGCAAUUCACAUUAAAAGACAAUUACAUAGCUUUUGUACAUUUCUGGUUUUUAGCCAUAUACAUAUAAUUAUUAAUGGGUAUGUGCCCAUUCUCAAGGAAGGUAAUCCAGUAUUUCUGGAAUAUCCCGAGAAAAAACUUUGUGGUGCUUCAUUGUUAUUUCCAAGUUCCAGAAUUUGUAUGUGGUGUUUGGUAACCUCAGAACUUUCCAGAAAGCUCAGCCAAAUUUAUAUAGACAUAAGUCUGAGCAAGACAGCAGACCUUAGUCAAUCAUAUCAGUAGCUUCCUCUUUGGUGCUCUAGUCUUGAAUCAAGACUACCAAAAUCAUAUAAGCUUUAUAAGAAGGUAGGGCUGUAUGCAAAUGAAAUGGCUAUGGCUAGCAGUUACACACGUGUCUAUGGGAAGUGCUUUAACUGCUCUCAUAGGCCAAUCUGUUAUUGUAAGCCGGUGCAAGAAAUUGGAAUGCAGGCGAAUUAACACAAUUCAUUGGUCAGUUACGUAAAUUUGGUUUUGUUGGUCUACAGUUGAGAAGAAAUACGUAGGUCCAUCUUUUGUCACAUUAUUUUUUAUAUUGCAUGUCAUUCUCAAUGCAUUCAUGUGACUUUAUUCAGGACAAUUUGGUGUUUUAGUGAUAUGGUUUAAUUAUUAUUCUUUGGAAUUGUGUAAAUAGUCGAAAACCUUGCCCGAGAUGUUAUUUAUUCAUUUACGGAAACCCUGAAUACAUUUACUAUUGUUCCUUAGCAUACUUUUUUUUGGUAUUUGUUGCGACUUGCCAUUUACAAAGAAAUGAAUACUGGUGAUGAACGUUAGGACUUUCUAAACUAUACCUCACAAAUUGGUAUAAAAUGGUUUUGGAUGAGGCCACUGUUUAAAUUUAGCAAAGCAUUUCUGUAAAGAAAGAGUUAUACACAUAGCUGGAGUACAACUGUUUGUGAAUAUUUUAAUUAUUUCAAUGUGAUUAUCUUAGAUUUUUAUAAGAUGAACAAAUACUGUGAUUGUAUUUUUCUAGAGUCAUAAAUUAAUUAGAAAUAAGGGAAGUCACAUAAAGGCUCUACAAAUGAUGAAUUAAUUGUUGUAAGUCAAUCAUGAGAUUUCCCGAAACCUCAUCUUUUGCACUUCCAAACAACAACUCAAUUUGUAUACAUUCUGUCUUGGGAUGGCGAAAGAAAACUCCAGAGAUUACAUGUCUAUUGGAUCAGCCUGUGAAUUUAACACAAAUUAUAAUUUCCAUAUUGAUAUCACUUGAAAAGUGUUGUUUUGGCUUUUUUUGUAAUUACCAAGAAAUUUAAUAAUUGUUGGACUUCCAUCCUCUAAAUGUGAACCCAAUUCCUACUAAGGUAUGAAGUUAUUUGUGACCUUUAUCUUUUCUCAUUUUCAAACCAGCUCCUAUAUUUAGAACUGAUCAUGGUAUGAGGUGCCUAUUUAUGAAACGAGUAUAAAAAGUCUGGGUUUAAUUUAAGAGUUUCUUUUCAGGUACAUAUCUAACUAAUUCAUGUUUUAUAAUUCAAUAUUUAUUUAAAACAACUCAAGUUAGAUAUUAUAAUUGCUUUGAAAAUGGAAACGUCAACCAUCCAAAAACCUGAAAUAAAAAGAAAAACAAGCAUGACAACUGAAAAAUGACUCCAUGAUGUCAUGCAGCAUCAUUCAUGGUCAUCUGUAUUACCUCAAUGAAUAACACAGAAUCUAUGGAACAAUUUGUGAUAUAAGUAUCUGUUGAUACAAACAUUUCUUCUUAAAGGUGGCACAGAUAAACAUGUAGCUACUCCACCACCAAAUGUUAAAUAAUAAACAGAAAUCUACCUUGAUGCAAUUGGCAUUUUAAUUUUGCUUUCUUUCCCUCGAUUCUAUUUACAUAUUUCUAUCUUAGUAAUUAUCUAUAAACACAUUGCAUACAACAGUGCAAUAUUUCUUGACAAACAGCACAUGUACAGUACGUUUUUGUAACUGCAAGAGUUUCAUGUGUCGGUAGUGUAUUUUGUUACAAGUAUCUGUGGUACUGGAUGUAGCAAUAUGAACCAUGCCCAAGUACAUGUAGUAUCAUGUUAGCAAUAUUAAGCAAAAGCAUACUUCACAGAAAAUAAGCCACCCAUCCUUGUUUCAUACACUUAACCUAGUAAUGUCAAUAUUUUCCAUCACUAAUUGAUUGAGUGGUUUACAUGUCUUUUUGGGGUCACAUCACUAAGUUUGUAUACAAAUAUGAAAACAUCUACAGCGUCGGGUUCAAACAAACAAACAACCCAACA
rnacentral:misc_RNA from 1 species